CUGGUGGGCGGUGGGCAGCCCACAGAGGCCGGGGCUUAGUUUGAACACGGUGAGCUCAGCCCCUUCACAUCAGGCACCCAGAGAGGCCAAGGCUCUGUGUUCAGGGCCAGGAUCCCAGUUUUGGGCCUGCCUCCCACACACCAGGCCACCUGGCCUCGUGGUCCCUGCUAGACAGAAGCUGAGUGAUAAAAGCAUAUGCUCUGGUCAUAUUUCCAGAGGCAGAAACUUUCCCACUCACAGUGGGAGUGAGGUCUAAGAAAUCUCCAAAUGCUGUCAGCCCUGCUGAGAAUCACAUCUCGCUUCACCAGAAAGCUACCAGGAAAUCAACUGGAAAACUUGCUGAGCACGAACCGGGAGGCUGGGCUCCAGCUCAGGGCAGGGGAGGCUAUAUACAUUGUGAUCAGAGGCUGAUUCUUUACCACUAUGCCACCUGGGAAGCAGAGCUGAUAAUGAAAACAGGUCACCCCUGAAGACCUGGGGAGGCAUCAUCGCUGGAGAACAAAGAGGCUGCAGGAGUUAAGACCCUUCAGAAACACCAGGCCUGGGGCCAGCAGCCUCCCGCACUGGGUGCAGCUCAUGACUGUCUCCCUGCCUCUGGCCCCGUGCAUCCUGUCUCUCUCAUGGUCUCCAGAAGCAGCCCCUGAGAAGAGGAUUCAUGGGAAGAACCAGGCAUCUGCCGCAUGAACUAGCCUGAGCUAGGCUGCUGGAGAGUGAGAGAGCUGAGGCAUCCCAUCCUAGACCAGCUCGUAACCAAGUGGCCCCAGACAUGCGAGGGUGUCCAGCCUCUAUCAGCAGAGCUACCCAGCUGACCACAGGCAGGCUCUUUAGUUGAUGUGACCAAGAAGUCUCCUGAAGCUCCAGUCUUACUUCUUCCUUCCGCCAAAUCCAGAUAAAAAAUCAUAACCCUCUUCUCAGCCUCUAAAUCGUCUCUAAAAAGUACUCUGAUUGGCCUGACUUGGACCACAUGUCCUUACCUGAACCAAUCUCCUGGCUGGAGAACAAGAACCCUCAGAUUGGAUCCUCUUCAUUAACAGAAGUCACGUGAAGAGAGUGAGACAGUGGUAGUUCCCAAGGGAAAGAGAAGCAGGCCAACCAGAAAAGCAGUAACUUUCUACUAUUCUCGCCAAGUACAGAGCUGGUGCAGUGAAAAAAGACACACACUUUGCAACAAAUUGGGAAAGUUUCUGAAGCCCAAUGAC